rnacentral:rRNA from 1 species
CUUUGGGAUAACCCUCGGAAACGGGGGCUAAUACCGGAUAGGACCUGGCCCUGCAUGGGGUUGGGUGGAAAGUUUUUUCGGCUAGGGGUGGACUCGCGGCCUAUCAGCUUGUUGGUGGGGUGAUGGCCUACCAAGGCGACGACGGGUAGCCGGCCUGAGAGGGCGACCGGCCACACUGGGACUGAGACACGGCCCAGACUCCUACGGGAGGCAGCAGUGGGGAAUAUUGCACAAUGGGCGGAAGCCUGAUGCAGCGACGCCGCGUGAGGGAUGACGGCCUUCGGGUUGUAAACCUCUUUCAGCAGGGACGAAGCGUGAGUGACGGUACCUGCAGAAGAAGCGCCGGCCAACUACGUGCCAGCAGCCGCGGUAAGACGUAGGGUGCGAGCGUUGUCCGGAUUUAUUGGGCGUAAAGAGCUCGUAGGCGGCUUGUUGCGUCGACCGUGAAAACCCGGGGCUCAACUUCGGGCUUGCGGUCGAUACGGGCGGGCUAGAGUUCGGUAGGGGAGACUGGAAUUCCUGGUGUAGCGGUGAAAUGCGCAGAUAUCAGGAGGAACACCGGUGGCGAAGGCGGGUCUCUGGGCCGAUACUGACGCUGAGGAGCGAAAGCGUGGGGAGCGAACAGGAUUAGAUACCCUGGUAGUCCACGCUGUAAACGUUGGGCGC